rnacentral:rRNA from 1 species
UACGCCCGAUCUCGUCCGAUCUCGGAAGCUAAGCAGGGUUGGGCCUGAUUAGUACUUUGAAGGGAGACUGCCUGGGAAUACCAGGUGCUGUAAGCUUGCUUACGGCCAUACCAGCCUGGCUUACGGCCAUACCAGCCUGAG